rnacentral:snRNA from 1 species
AAGUGUUACAGCUCUCUUAGAAUUUGUCUAACAGGUUUUCUAGUAAAAAUUUCCCAU